AAAAAAAUGGAUCAUGGAUUCGAUAUUUACGAGUUACGAAGUUGGAUGUAUUUGCACAAAGAUUCCGACGGGAGAGUGACGAAUGCAUUUCUGAACGGGCUAGAGACAUUCAUGCACCAGGCGGGCUGUACACCGAUCACGCAGGAAAGCGGUAAGAUGUUCUGCCCCUGUUCAAAAUGCAAAAAUUCGAAAUUUGCACGUAGUGAAACUGUAUGGAAUCAUUUAGUAAACAGAGGAUUUACACCACAGUAUUACAUUUGGUAUCAACAUGGAGAGGGUUAUGGGGGAAAUGAAGCUAGUAGUAGUAAUGCUAAUUUUGAGGAUGCUCAUCAUAAUGAAGAACCGAAUCAUGUGCAUAAUGAAUAUAAUUAUCAUCAAGAGGAGCAGAUGGUAGAUCAUGAUAGGGUUCAAGAUAUGAUUAGUGAUGCAUUUUUAGAAACAACUACAACAAUAGCAGAUGGAACUGGAAAUGUAGAAGAACCUAAUUUGGAUGCAAAAAGGUUUUAUGAAAUG